ensembl:lncRNA
GAAAAAUGAGAGCACAGAUUUUUAUUUUCUUUAGAAGACUAUGUAAGAAAAUUAAUAAACAUGCCACCUGGCAGGUAUGUGGGGGGAUUGGGACCAGGUACUUGGGGACAGCGUUGCAAGAAGCCUUUUUACUUUGUAUUGCUUUGAUUUUUUGAAUAAAUUGGGCUAUUAUCUCCUGAAAAAAAAUUUUUUUAAAUUAUAUUUAAGGGACUUGGUUUCCUCCUGGAGGGCAGAGGGCUCCCUAGGGGAAUUGCAGCCGGGAACUGAAGAAGCCAGAAGUUCCUCAGGCCUGAACCCGUCCCUGGAGAAAACUUACUGAUUCUGGGCCCUCUCUAUUUAAACACUGACCCGUUCUGAACAAACCAGUUUUGGGAACAGUUCAUCCAUUCAACCUUCAGAGAAGGACGGGAGCUCAGGGGAAGUGAGACCCCAGCACAGAUGGCUCCCAACCAAGCCCCUGACUCUGGGUCCUGGGCUUGCAGGGAGGCCAAGGACUCCACCGGUGGACCUGCGGGAUCGACUCGAGCCCUGCACGGCGGAUGCGGAUGGAGCAGCAUCGCGGAAGGAGCGCCGCCGGGUGGGAUGCCCGGGGUGGGAUGCCCGCCCGCCACCGGAUGAGAGGAUGGGCAGCGUGGCGGGCCACCUGCAAGCUCUGGGGCGGGAGAGCUACACAGCAGACCUCCCAGCGGCCAGGCCAGGAGGCCUGCCGACCCUCCCCAUCCGGACGCGAGGAAGCCCCUCCUUCCGACGGACCAGCCCAGCGGGUCCCGGGCUAAGGGGGUGGGGGGCCGAGCAGGAGUGGGGCGCCCCCUGGUGGCGCUCGGGGAGAGACACAGACUUGAAAAAUGGAAUCCCUGGACCAGCACCCCAGGGACCGGUGGGGCGCGAGGUAGAACGGAGGGGUCUCCCAGCUGGGACAAGGGAUUCGAACCGGGGCGAUCAGGGGGAGAUCUUGGGGCGGUCGAAGGAAGAGCUCAGUGACUGUGGCUACCCCAGUUACCCCACAGCGGAUGGCCUGUGGGCGUCGGUUUCGGAAGCACCGCCCCAUGGCGUCCCCGCCCCCGUCCCCUCCCUCGCGCCUCCCCAGCAGAAGGGCACAGCUGCUGGCCUGGCAUUCCGAAGUUCAGGGAGUGAAUCUCCUGCGCUUUCUGCCCUUGCCAGGAUCUCUCCACCCUCCCUCCUCCCCCUUUUCCCCAAGGCAGCCGCUCUUUUUUGUGUGUGUUUGGUUUUUUUGUCGUCCUCAUUUUAGGGCUCACCUGCGGCGUAUGGAGCUUCCCAGGCUAGGGGUUCAAUCGGAGCUACAGCUGCCGGCCUACACCACAGCCACAGCAACGCGGGAUCCAAGCCUCAUCUGUGACCUACACCACAGCUCACCGCAACACCGGAUCCUUAACCCCCCGAGCGGGGCCAGGGAUCAAACCCACAACCUCAUGGUUCCUAGUCAGAUUCAUUUCCACUGCGCCACGACGGGAACUCCAAGGCAGCCUCUCUUUGCUCUUUGUUCUCUGAAUCGUCCUUUACCUGCUCAAGCCACAGCACCCCCCUCCCCACAGAUUUGCCCACCUGGGAAAUCCUGGAGCCAGCAAAGUGUAGGAGCCGACAGCACCACGAGCACUGAGUGGGACCGGAGGGCAGAGCAGCAGAUGAUGGCGCUGGAGGGAGGGGGGCACAGAGAAUGGAGGUAGCUGGGCUCCUGACCCCUGCUCUCUGGGGCAUGGGGCCCUGGGCCUCAGAUUUGGGGUUUCCCCUCAUCUCAUCAUUGUGUCUGAGCACAAUGCUCAGAUCAUCCCCGCUUCCCAGCUAGUGUGCGUGCACACACAUGCGCACUGGAUAGUGAUGGCCCCCAGAGCAGAGGUCUGGGGCAUCUGAGCCAGGCCAGGGUGGGCUUUGUUAAUGGCUUAUAUACGUUGUCCCCACUAAGCCUAAAGAUAUGCCCAUAGCGCAGAUGUGGCAACUGAGGCAUGGCAAGGUCAAUGGCUUACCAAGUUGAGCCAGGAUUCCCAGGUCUGGCCACAAGCCCGUCUGAGGAUGAAAAGGGGGUGUGGGGACUCCCUCCGGGUAUCACCUUGCUUACAUGGUCAUGGCUGGGGCCUGAGGGAAAUAAGACAAUUAACAGCCAUUUGUGGGGAGUUCUCUUGUGGCACAGUGAGUUAAGGAUCAGGCGUUGUCACUGCAGAGGCUUGGGUUGCUGCUGUGGCGUGGGUUCGAUCCCUGGCCCAGGGAUCUUCCACAGGCCUUGAGCAUGCCCAAAGCAAAACAAAACAAAACACACACAAACACACACACACACAAACAACCUCCCAGCAAUUUGUGAAGUGCACCGAAGCAUCAGGAUAUGCCAGGCCCCAGUCUAGGCAUCCUACAGGAACUGACUCAAGCAUCCCUCGGAGAAGCUUUAUGCUCUGGGGCUAUAAUCACCCCACCUUAGAGAUGGGGUCUGAGUGGGGAAAUGCAAGGUUGCACAACCUUCUGGGGACCACACAACACAAAGGCUGGAGCUAAACUCUGAACCCAGGCAGGCGAGCGCUGCUGUCUGAACCAGUAUUCGAGUAGCUCUGAGAUCCUGGCAGAGGGGCAGGCUGUCCCUGUGAUCUGCCUGGAGUCCAUCUUUGCCCAGUUUUGCUCUCUCCGGGCCCCUUGUCUUUGAACCACGCUGUCUCUAAGUCCUGCUCUGGACAUGGCCGCACAUUCUUCCCCUCCGAGGCCCCUGGAGACUGGCUCUGGUACAGCGAGGAUUCAAUGAGGGAGGGGCUCCUUAAGCAGCGCAUGAACUUGGAGUUGGAACUUACUUUCUGUAGUGCCUCCCCCCACCCCGCCUCCAGGAAACAGGCUGCCCAGGAAAGGGUGUUGCCCCUUGGUCCUGCCCCUUGGUCUAGGUCAGUUCUGACAGGGCCACCAGCCCACCCAGUGUCCUCCAAGCCCAGGAGGCUCAGGAGGUUCAGGAUCAAGUUCAGCACAUCAGAGACCAAGUCUAGACUUGAAGCCAGGCUUCCAGCUUGGCCCUCCCUGGAAGCUGAAUCCCCCUUGGUGGCAGACCUGCCCAGCUUAGCCAUGGCCCUGACCAAGGCAUCCUUCUCCUCUAUGAAGACAGGUGUCUCUUUUUUUGCCACCCACACCCGCCCUGCUGCCAAGUCCUUGUGUCUUUCUGUCCCCCACCCCCAUUUCUUCUCUCCCCGCUGUGUCUCUGUUUCUGCAUAGCUCUGUGGCCUGGCUCUCUCUCCCAGAGCCUGGUCUUCAGAAAGCCCCCUUCUCUUCCUGGCCUUCUUGGAGGUGGAGCGGGAGCAGGAGCACAUUUCUUGUCGCCCAGGCCUAAUAUCUUAAUGCAAAGCCAUUACUCACCGGAGUCCAGGCAGGGCAGGCCUCUCCCCUCCUCGUUUGUCAUCUCGAGUGAAGCCUCUGCGUUGUUCCUCAGGGGCCAGAUUAAGGGACUGACAGGCCGGAUGAACAAAUUUAGCUGCCAGCGCGGCCUCCUCAGGCCCUCCCUCCCCAGCCUCCCUGGCGGCUCCGGGCCCCUGAACUUUGAGUAGGGGAGGUCUGAGGCCUCAGGGUCCUGGUUUCUGAUCCUCCUCACCCGGCAGGGGCAGGGGUCCUGGGAGCUUUUCUCCUAAGAGAGCAAGAGAAAAGGAGCUGGGGCCAGAAUGACCAGGACCCCCGGGGACUCUUGAGCAUUUACCAUAAAAAUAGAACCAUCANNNNNNNNNNUCCUGCUGUGGCAAAAAGGGGUCCGUGGCAUCUUAGGGGGACAGGUUCCAUCCCCGGCAAGGCACAGUGGGUUAAGAGUCCAGCAUUGCCGAGGUUGCAGCUUAGGUCAUGACUGCUCUGGCUGGCUCGGAUCUGAUCCCUGGCCUGGAACCUCCAUAUGCCU